rnacentral:rRNA from 1 species
AUUGAACGCUGGCGGCAGGCCUAACACAUGCAAGUCGAGCGAGCGGCGGACGGGAGAGUAAUGUCUGGGAAACUGCCUGAUGGAGGGGGAUAACUACUGGAAACGGUAGCUCAUACCGCAUACCAUCAGAUGUGCCCCGAUGGGAUGAGCUAGUAGGUGGGGUAACGGCUCACCUAGGGGACGAUCCCUAGCUGGUUUGAGAGGAUGACCAGCCACACUGGAACUGAGACACGGCCCAGACUCCUACGGGAGGCAGCAGUGGGGAAUAUUGGACAAUGGGCGCAAGCCUGAUGCAGCCAUGCCGCGUGUGUGAUGAAGGCCUUCGGGUUGUAAAGCACUGUCAGCGGGGAGGCGUUACCCGCAGAAGAAGCACCGGCUAACUCCGUGCCAGCAGCCGCGGUAAUAC